CAUGCUUACAAUAUGUAAGUUAUUUUAUUUAUUUCAUAUUAAUGAAUCAAUGAGAUGAAAAUGAAGUGUAAAUAUACGAGGAUAGAAAUCGAAUGUUCAGUCCUGAUCUUGAGUUCAAAACUUCAUGCUGUAUUGCUUGUGAUGAAGUUUCACCGAUCUGCAGUUGGUUCCUUCUAUGGAUCCUUAUGCAUAGUUGGUAGAUUCUGAAACAAAGAGAGCUUGUGAACAUGAGCAGGGAAUAUUUUCAUGUGUCACUUGUGGGAUUUUUUGUUUUGCUUAUGUUGCUAUUGAAGCAGCUGCUCAUUAUCUAUUGUUAGCCAGUUGCAUCGCAUUUAAGAAUUGGGGUGCUGGUGAUGAUGACUACAAUCACAUCAGACAUCCAAAGUCUCCCAACAGAAACCUUGGUUCAGGGAUGGUAAGAAAGAAACAUGUAAUAUACAUUCGAUCUCUGUGGCAAAGCAUGUGUGUUGGGUCAAGACCUGAUAUGAUUCUUCAUCUGAUUCAAGCACUGAGCUAAAGAAAGUUAGAGGUAUCAUGCAGUUGCUGCAGGCCAAGCCCAUGUUCCACUCUCUCUGACUGCUGAGACUCUAGCUUCCCCUGUGGUCCAUGUGAUCAUGGCGGCGGUGGUAAGACAAAACGGAAGUUUCUGGAAGUGUUGGACAAUUAAGUUACAAAAUGAUUGAAAUAAAAAGCAUGACUUGGAAAAUGCCAACAUCCAAAGGCUAGUAAUCCUACUGCAAAAAUUAACUCUACUGGAUUUGGUUUACAGAAGGUCAUUAAAGUUGAGAAGGAAAUGGAAAAGUCUAAGAUGUAAAAUCCGCUAUUACAUUCAAACAACGCAUCUAAGUCUGGAAAGCCGAAUAUGAAAGGACUAUCGUUGACAAAGUUGUUCACCCCAGUACUGUUUUCGCAGAAUAGUAGUAUUAUGUAUGCCUAGUUUGCUGAUGGUGAUUUUCUGGUGCAACAACAUUCACUGUUGGAUGUAGUGCAUGAGAACUUGUAGUGCUCUUUUUUUUGUUAAUCUAUUUAUGUUGAAAAUAUGGCAGUGACUUAUGGUUUGUACUUUGAUAUGAUCAUUUGCAGGUCUGGUAAGAAAGAAACAAGGUCCUUUUGAUAUGCCAAUGAUAUGCAAAUAUGUGCGGAUCAGAUUCAAUCUAUGUGCCAAAGUAUGUGUGCUGGUCAAAAUGAAUCUGAUUUUUCAUCUGAUUCAAGCACUGAGCCAAAGAAAGUGAAUUAUCAUGCAAAGAAAGAAACAAGGUCCUUCUGAUAUGCCAAUGAUAUGAAAAUAUGUGCGGAUCAGAUUCAAUCUAUGUGCCAAAGUAUGUGUGCUAGGUCAAAAUGAAUCUGAUUCUUCAUCUGAUUGAAGCACUGAGCCAAAGAAAGUGAGUUAUCACGCUGUUGCUGCUGGCCAAGUCCAUGUUCCACUUUCUAUGAGUGCUGAGACUGUAGCAUCCCCUAUGAUCCAUGUGAUCACGACAGCAGUGGCAAGACAUUCCUAAGGUUGAGACUUUUGCUUGAGGACAAUAUAAGGGAGUCAAUCUUUUGGAGAAGUAUGGCCUAAGCCCUGGUACAUUGAAGGGAGAACAACACAAGGAAAUAGGGGGAUGAAAAUGUUGGCAAAAUCUUCAUUAACUUUGGGAGCAUGGAUGACAUUUCUGAAGUUUCUGGUGGAAAGGAUGGAAAUGAUUCUGAGUAUGAGCUUUUGGUUUGCAGUCCAUCCAAAAUUGAGGUUAGUAAAUCUUUUUUGU